UCGAUAACGAACGAGACCUCGACCUACUAAAUAGUUGACCAAACUCUUUUUGGGUUUGGAUUGACUUCUUAGAGGGACUUUUGGUGAGUAGCCAAAGGAAGUUCGAGGCAAUAACAGGUCUGUGAUGCCCUUAGAUGUUCUGGGCCGCACGCGCGCUACACUGAUCGGUUCAUCGAGCAUAAAACCUUGACUGAUAAGUCUGGGUAAUCUUUUGAAAACCGGUCGUGCUGGGGAUAGAUCAUUGCAAUUAUUGAUCUUCAACGAGGAAUUCCUAGUAAACGCGAGUCAUCAACUCGCAUUGAUUACGUCCCUGCCCUUUGUACACACCGCCCGUCGCUAAUACCGAUUGAAUGGCUA
rnacentral:rRNA from 1 species